CGUGCCGGCCACGCCCCCUUCCGCACCCACAGCCAAUGAGUGGCGUCGGCCAAUCGCGGGAGGCGAGAGCACCUCGAAUCUCCGGGCAAGUUAAGUUUAUCUCCGAGGCUCGGCGGUGAAGGGUGACCGCGGGUUAGUUAGGUAGUGGGGUGGGAGGGACUCCAGUCUGCCAAUGAGAAGCGGAGGGUGUGGUGUAUGCAAAUUAACCCGGGACUCUAGCGCCACCCUCAGGACAAGCCACGCCCCCUCUGCGAGGUCUGGGCCGAAUGGAGUGAGAUUAAAUAGCUGGAAGCUAGAGCUCGCUAGAGGAUCUGAGACCGAGCUAAACAUUUCCUGAUCUCUCGGGGGUGGGCAGGCUGGACGCUAGAACGUUCCCUCCUCCGGGGCAGUGGUUCGGCUUUCUCUCGGUCGAAAUCUAAGAAUAGCUGUAAGGAAGACUGUGGUCUUGCAUCACUUUGCACCUAGAGAUCUCAAAGAACUUCAUGCUUCGCUCCGUGAGUCUGGAGCGAAGGACCAGCUAGCUACCUGAGGCUGUAGGGAUAGAGGUCUGAGUUCUGUACAGCUAAUGGAGUGGGGACCCGGAGACACAUCUUUGGUUUAGGAGGUUUUCCCUCUCUCCAUCAUUCUCACAGCAAAGAAAGUUCCCUUAUCUAGCAUGAAUAGGUCAGAGGUUCCUACACACACACACACACACACACACACACACACACACACACACACACACACACACACACAUAUUCUGUCCGAGGCAACUGGUUAGAGAUGUGCAAAGCACAAUUCCUGCUUGGGAAGGUAGGUUCUGAGUACGAGUUGCCAUUUAAAAUGAUUGAACCCUCCUCUCCCAAAGCUGACAACGGUGAGUCAGGGUUUAGCUUCUACGUUCCAGAGACAGAAGACAGAAGCCACUGCGGAAAGCUCUUUUGGCCGGAUGCCCAACCCAGGCAAGUCAGGGAGCCAGGUACCCCGCGGAACCAACCAUAGGAAGAGGAUUGUAGACCAGAUUCCGGCAGCCUGCUCCCCAGUGAGAACAAAGACUGCGGAACGAACACCUGAUUGGUGCCCGGUGCUCACCGGUGUUGCGGGAGCCCAUGACAGGGUGCCUCUGCCCCUGGUGCAGAGCACCAGGCUCCCAGGAACUGCAGUUCCCCAGCCGGCCUUGGCGGUGACCACACCGCACUGCGUGCUAUGACAUCACCUGUUUUCGCUCCUGAGAGCCUAAUCAGUAUUCUAGGCUUCUCCCCUUCUAAAGGUCUCAAGUGUGUUAGGAUUUAUGAAGGCCUGCAAUUUGUAUCUGUGGAGAUGAUUUAACAGAACUGACCCACUGGUUUACAUUUCUCGUAUUAUUUUUUAUUUAACACACUACCCUGCGUUAAGGAUUUAAUGUAGUAUGAUUGUAGUAUGAUGCAAAUUCCGGAAGGCGCACUUGGAGGAGCUCGCACUUCUAGCAUAACAAAGCCAUCAGACCAAACUGUGCUGUUCAAACUGCCAAUCUCUUCCAUCCUCAACAUCUGUCUCCCUUCCAUCCCCUUUAGAGACCUACACCUUAAACAAGCCUACACAAAGAACAAAGGAAAUGGAAAUCUGCCCACAUCGGGUUUAAAUAGACUGGAAAACCCCAAGGGUCUAGGUGAUAUGGUUAGAAUAAAGAGAGCACAGAAGAUGGACACGGCAGUAGUGACAGGGCAAAAAAACCACAGAAGGAGGAACAGAAAUGACUAGGAUCUCCAUGAAGAUUGUCCAUGUUGUCCAGACUAGAGAGCUAUUCUCACCUCAACCUUCUUAGCAAGCCAAAGAUACUCCGCUAUCCACUGCCUCCAGCACACAGGAAAGUGGGAAGGAGUCAACUGGAACAAAGAAAGACUGCAGUCUUUGCCAAUAGUGGGUAAAAUACUGAUUUUUGAAAUUUAAUUAAAAUAGAACUAUGUUAAUACAUGGCUUGAAGCUCCCCUGGGGCCAUAGAGGGGACAGUCUUGGCGAUAAAUCCUAAAGUUUGAAUUUU